CCCCGAGUGUAUAUAUAAAGGACGAGGUGCGGUUCCUUCCAGUUCUGUUUUUGUGAGUUCGUUCGUCCGAGUGUCCGCAGGAUGAAGCUGGUAAUCGUCCUCCUCGCAGCGUUGGCAACAGUGCUGGGCCUAUUGCACUGUGCCAGGGCCCUCCCCCACCCCCUCCCCUACCCUCACCCUCACCCUGAACCGCGGCGCCCUAGCAAGCCUCUAUUUGACCCCAAGUCCAGCUAUGGGUACCGUUCCAAGCCCUAUUAUGGGGACUACCUGCCUACCUACCGAUGGUGACGCGGUGAUGGGGUGGUGAAGUUGAUGGUGUUGAUGGUGGUGAUGGUGGUGAUGGUGGUGACUGCCUCGUUCGACUUCAGCGGCAUGUCCGGAGGAGCGCUGAGACCUGGCAUUACUCGUUCUUAUCAUAAGCAUUAUUAUUAUUAAGGUUUAUUAGUGUUAUUUUUAUUAUUUUUUUUUUUUUUAUUAGGGGGGUGGUAUGGAAUAAAUCUUAGUUUUUUU